CGUCUUCAGGGCGGGGUGCAAUUCCCCACUGGCGGUAUAGUCCGCGACCCACUUUUUGUGGCUGACCCGGUGCGACUCCGGGACCAACGGUAUAGUCCGGAUGGAAGAAGAU
rnacentral:ncRNA from 1 species